UCAGAGGAGAAGAAGAAGUCAGAGAGGAGCAGAGACUGAAGGGAUCGUCAGAACCAGACAGCUUUGAGCUCUACUGGACCGGACCGGAUAUCCUAAACAUGGAGAACGGAAAAACAGAAACAGACGACAAGAUGGAAGACGUGUCAGAAGAUAAAGAAGAAUAUGUGGAGGAGGCUAACCUGGAGAUUGCUCAGCUGCAGGGCCUGGUGGCUGAGCUGCACGAGGGGCUCCACGCUGCCCUGACGGAGCUGUGCGAGCUGCGUCAGAGGGACCGCGGCCUGGAGGAGAAGCUCCGGAACCAUCAGACCGACAUGGACGACAAGAUAAUGAGCCUCAAGAACUCACUCAACACUUUCAAGGUGCUGGAGAGAGAAAGACAGACACACACACACACACACACACACACACACACACACACACACACACACACACACACACACACACACACACACACACAGUCUAUUCUGACUUUAGAUUUAGAACAUCUGACUGAAUCUGUAAACUAAUUUCAUUUAUUAGAAAGGUCUUUCAGACGUCUAACUUCAGAAAUAAUGAGAGGAGCACAUUUACGUCUUCUAUGACGGCCAUGUUGUAAUGUUUGUGACAGUUUUCAAACUGUUGGUUUAGUUGCCUAAACCUAACUGUUGGUGUUGUUGUCUAAACCUAACUGUUGGUUUU